rnacentral:tRNA from 1 species
GGCUUGGUAGCUCAGUCGGUAGAGCAGCGCCCUGAAAAGGCGUGUGUCGACGGUUCGAUUCCGCCCCAAGCCA